AUUCUGCCCAAGCGGGGAAGGAUGAGAAGCUUCGACCAAGGUUCGACUCGAGCGCCAGCGAGAGAGCGUUGCCGCAG
rnacentral:sRNA from 1 species